rnacentral:tRNA from 1 species
AGUUCUAUAUUCAAGGAUGAUAACAGAAUGCAAUUCUGUAGGAGUAGGAAACUACUAGAACUU